rnacentral:rRNA from 1 species
GGGUUGUGAGGUUAAGCGACUAAGCGUACACGGUGGAUGCCCUGGCAGUCAGAGGCGAUGAAGGACGUGCUAAUCUGCGAUAAGCGUCGGUAAGGUGAUAUGAACCGUUAUAACCGGCGAUUUCCGAAUGGGGAAACCCAGUGUGAUUCGUCACACUAUCAUUAACUGAAUCCAUAGGUUAAUGAGGCGAACCGGGGGAACUGAAACAUCUAAGUACCCCGAGGAAAAGAAAUCAACCGAGAUUCCCCCAGUAGCGGCGAGCGAACGGGGAGCAGCCCAGAGCCUGAAUCAGUGUGUGUGUUAGUGGAAGCGUCUGGAAAGGCGUGCGAUACAGGGUGACAGCCCCGUACACAAAAAUGCACAUAUUGUGAGCUCGAUGAGUAGGGCGGGACACGUGGUAUCCUGUCUGAAUAUGGGGGGACCAUCCUCCAAGGCUAAAUACUCCUGACUGACCGAUAGUGAACCAGUACCGUGAGGGAAAGGCGAAAAGAACCCCGGCGAGGGGAGUGAAAAAGAACCUGAAACCGUGUACGUACAAGCAGUGGGAGCACGCUUAGGCGUGUGACUGCGUACCUUUUGUAUAAUGGGUCAGCGACUUAUAUUCUGUAGCAAGGUUAACCGAAUAGGGGAGCCGAAGGGAAACCGAGUCUUAACUGGGCGUUAAGUUGCAGGGUAUAGACCCGAAACCCGGUGAUCUAGCCAUGGGCAGGUUGAAGGUUGGGUAACACUAACUGGAGGACCGAACCGACUAAUGUUGAAAAAUUAGCGGAUGACUUGUGGCUGGGGGUGAAAGGCCAAUCAAACCGGGAGAUAGCUGGUUCUCCCCGAAAGCUAUUUAGGUAGCGCCUCGUGAAUUCAUCUCCGGGGGUAGAGCACUGUUUCGGCAAGGGGGUCAUCCCGACUUACCAACCCGAUGCAAACUGCGAAUACCGGAGAAUGUUAUCACGGGAGACACACGGCGGGUGCUAACGUCCGUCGUGAAGAGGGAAACAACCCAGACCGCCAGCUAAGGUCCCAAAGUCAUGGUUAAGUGGGAAACGAUGUGGGAAGGCCCAGACAGCCAGGAUGUUGGCUUAGAAGCAGCCAUCAUUUAAAGAAAGCGUAAUAGCUCACUGGUCGAGUCGGCCUGCGCGGAAGAUGUAACGGGGCUAAACCAUGCACCGAAGCUGCGGCAGCGACACUAUGUGUUGUUGGGUAGGGGAGCGUUCUGUAAGCCUGUGAAGGUGUACUGUGAGGUAUGCUGGAGGUAUCAGAAGUGCGAAUGCUGACAUAAGUAACGAUAAAGCGGGUGAAAAGCCCGCUCGCCGGAAGACCAAGGGUUCCUGUCCAACGUUAAUCGGGGCAGGGUGAGUCGACUCCUAAGGCGAGGCCGAAAGGCGUAGUCGAUGGGAAACAGGUUAAUAUUCCUGUACUUGGUGUUACUGCGAAGGGGGGACGGAGAAGGCUAUGUUGGCCGGGCGACGGUUGUCCCGGUUUAAGCGUGUAGGCUGGUUUUCCAGGCAAAUCCGGAAAACUAAGGCUGAGGCGUGAUGACGAGGCACUACGGUGCUGAAGCAACAAAUGCCCUGCUUCCAGGAAAAGCCUCUAAGCAUCAGGUAACAUCAAAUCGUACCCCAAACCGACACAGGUGGUCAGGUAGAGAAUACCAAGGCGCUUGAGAGAACUCGGGUGAAGGAACUAGGCAAAAUGGUGCCGUAACUUCGGGAGAAGGCACGCUGAUAUGUAGGUGAAGUCCCUCGCGGAUGGAGCUGAAAUCAGUCGAAGAUACCAGCUGGCUGCAACUGUUUAUUAAAAACACAGCACUGUGCAAACACGAAAGUGGACGUAUACGGUGUGACGCCUGCCCGGUGCCGGAAGGUUAAUUGAUGGGGUCAGCGCAAGCGAAGCUCUUGAUCGAAGCCCCGGUAAACGGCGGCCGUAACUAUAACGGUCCUAAGGUAGCGAAAUUCCUUGUCGGGUAAGUUCCGACCUGCACGAAUGGCGUAAUGAUGGCCAGGCUGUCUCCACCCGAGACUCAGUGAAAUUGAACUCGCUGUGAAGAUGCAGUGUACCCGCGGCAAGACGGAAAGACCCCGUGAACCUUUACUAUAGCUUGACACUGAACAUUGAGCCUUGAUGUGUAGGAUAGGUGGGAGGCUUUGAAGUGUGGACGCCAGUCUGCAUGGAGCCGACCUUGAAAUACCACCCUUUAAUGUUUGAUGUUCUAACGUUGACCCGUAAUCCGGGUUGCGGACAGUGUCUGGUGGGUAGUUUGACUGGGGCGGUCUCCUCCUAAAGAGUAACGGAGGAGCACGAAGGUUGGCUAAUCCUGGUCGGACAUCAGGAGGUUAGUGCAAUGGCAUAAGCCA